rnacentral:rRNA from 1 species
UGGCGGACGGGUGAGUAACGCGUGGGUAACCUGCCUUGCACUGGGGGAUAACACUUAGAAAUAGGUGCUAAUACCGCAUAAGCGCACGGUCCUGCAUGGGACAGUGUGAAAAACUCCGGUGGUGCAAGAUGGACCCGCGUCUGAUUAGCUGGUUGGCGGGGUAAAGGCCCACCAAGGCGACGAUCAGUAGCCGGCCUGAGAGGGNGGACGGCCACAUUGGGACUGAGACACGGCCCAAACUCCUACGGGAGGCAGCAG